UGUGUGUGUGUGUGUGUGUGUAUGUGAGGGAAGGGGGGGGGACACACAAGACUGAGAAGAAUAAAAAAAGAGGUGCCUGACUUCAGUAGUCAAACACCUUCCCUGCCUCACAUCCGUUUGUGGUUUGUAAAGAGAGAGAGGAGAGGAAAAAAAAAAAAAUCUCUUCCAAAAAAGCACCGGUCUGCAGAUGUCUGCGAGAGAACCCACGAACCCUCCUUCUUCUACGGCAGGGCAGAUGUCUUUUGCUGCAGAUUUUUUUUGUUUUCGUUUAUAUUCACAAGGUUUCUGUGAAGAGAGGGAUGUUUCUUAAAUCUCCAGGCAAGUGUCCUCCUUAGAGAUAUUUGACUACCAUCAUAUGAUGAAGUUUCUGAGUCUUAGCUGUAAAAUCCCUGCCCUUCCUUUUCCCUCCUGAUACCUGGUGAGAAAAAUACCAGAAAUCCUUGAUUUGUUUCCCAUCUCAAGGCCAUACCUCUGCAAUAUACUUAAACAAUAUUAGGAUUCUUCAGGUUUUGAGUUAGUGGGACAUGAAAGAUUUUUUUUUCUUGCUGUUAUUCCUGGAGUAUAAAACAUAAGGAUACAAAAUUACAUAGUUGGAAUCUCAAAAAUAAUGUAGAACUGUAGGGAAUAUAUCCCUCAUAUCAUGCUGCCUCAAUUCCAGGCAGGUUGCAGUGUGCAUCCAGGGCUCUCUCCUUGUAGGCCCUAUAGAAAUCCUGAAGAAAUUAUUAAAAUCUUUUUGUUUGACACAAAAAAGCUGCAGGGUACAAAGCAUAAGAAGCUAAAUGGAAAGAGACAGGUAGGCUGUGUGGGCUCUUUUGUCUUUCAUCCCUCUGAAUAAUAUAUCCAGCAGUAGAUGUGUAGACAUGCCAAAUGAAAUAAUAAUAUAGUUAUUUUGGAAUUAGGGAAAGCUCCAGUUCUUAAGACUGAGAACUGACAGAAAGACAAGAAACAGCAGAGGUUGUAUUAGUCUUGCAUAUAAUAUUCACUUAAAAGCACAAAGAGUUAAUCUUAUCAUCCUACACAUGGUUGCAUUUAUAAAAGAUAAAAAUCACAAACAAGUAAUGCACAGUUACUUGUUACAUAUUCUUCCCAUUACAGUUGACAGGUUCAUUAAUCAUACAGUGUAUUUUACUAUUAGAAGCUGUAAAGAAGAUCAAAUCUCUUGUAAUUUUUCUUCUUCUUUUCCGUUUGAUAAGUGUGUUGUUGCAAUGUGCAGAUAAAAUAUAAUGUCAGUCACAAACUGUCCCAAGGGAAUUGCAACUCUCCAGUUAGAAAAUUCAUCCUUAUUUGCAAUGUAAAAUUCCAAGGAAAAUGCAUCAUUUCCUUUUUAGCCUGACCAUCAGAUUGAGUAAAAUGCAUAUGCCUGGGUAUUCACAAAAGAAGCAAUCCACAAUGUACUGCCUGUGGAUAUGAGCAAUGUUUAACUAAUAGAAAUAUUGCUUACUGCAUGUUGAAAGCAUUAACUAUGAAUACCCCUAUUCAUAACAUCACAUUGAUUCAUAAUUAAAGCCCUGUGAAAAUUAUAGAGAAAGUUGACAUGUUUCACAAGCUGUUCAUGGUAAAUGUAGCAAAUUUUACAGUUUGUUGUGACUUGCCAAUAAAGAAAUCUCAGGGAGAAAGAUUAAAAAAUGAUUCUACAACACUGAAUCUUAGCAAGUGUGACUAAAACAAAUGAUGACCUAUGUAGAAGCCUUAGACCCAUAUUUUAAAAAAAAAUAAUGAAAGCUUCUAUUUUAAAAUAAGCAGUCUAAUAUGUCUAAUGAAAAACAUUUUGGUUGAUGUACAGCAGUAAAUUCUCACCUAUGUAAGAAACCGGAAAGCCUCAAGAAAUAAAAAUAACUCAACCUUCUUAGCCAAAGAAAGUGAAACCAAGGACUGCAAAGUCUUUUGAAACUGUGAAGUAAUGAUACCAUUGAUUUCAAACAACAAGCAAGCUGUGACAAACAUUGUGAGAGAUAUUCAUGUAAGAGGAAGAUGCAAGCAGUUGAAUCUACAGUAGGAAAGACAACUUAAGUACAAGAAAUGGUGAAUGAUUUUCUGUGAGAAGAAUAAAUGCAUCACAGAAAAGUUUACAGAUUUAAUAGAGGCUUUUUGCACUGCUAACGUUUUACUUCAUGUUCUGCACAGUCCUACUAUGAAAAGCUAUUGAAAGCUUCUUGGGAAAAACAUACCAUUUGCUGGUGCCAUACCUGGUUUAGAUCAACUGCAGAAAAAAAACUACUUACCAAACCUUCUUGAAAGUCAUAUGAGACUGUUUCCGCACUGUUUCCAUUCAAAGACUGCUUGACCUUUUGGGAAAAAAAACUCCACAUGCCCAGUCUAUUUCUCUCAGGAUAUUUUUCAUGUACAAUCAAAUAAAAAUUAAGUUAAACUUAGAAUGCUACUUCUUGUUUUACAUACUUUGUUUUCAUGGUUAUGUGAACAGGAAAAAUGUAAAUGCAUUUUCUAGGUUUAUUCCCUGAAUCAUUUUGAGGAACAUCUGUUGAUAGUUGUGACAUAAAGGAGUUGAAAGAUCUGUCUGAGGGACUGCACAAGUGCUGAUACCUUUGUGUAAUCAACACCUUUCAUAGCAGCACCAUCACAGUCCAGUGGGAAGAAAGAAUUAUAGUUUUGGCAAUGGACUCUAGCUUUUUAAUCUCUUUUAGUCUGUUUUGCUUUUUCAGAAAAUAUCAUAUGGGGGGAGGGGGUGAACAUUGCAUCGCUAAAAGAGACCUCUCUUGAAAUUUGAGACUUUUUUGCGUUGGCUGAAUAUUUUGUUAUUCCCAUGUUAACUUAUUGAGGUAAGGUACUUUGAACACAGCCAAGCCCAAUUAUGCUCUGUAUCAAUUACGUUUUGAAAUAUGAUUCCCAUUUUAAAGACAAGUUAUUCAUAAGGAUGAAGUUCAGUGCAAUUUCUAAUGAGAUACCCAAAACCAAAUUGUUUUCCAGUGCUAUUAUUGCUUUGAGAAGUCUACUUGCGCUUACUAGGAGUGUAAUAAUUCUUUUACUUACAAGUUUUUAAGAAUGAUAUUGCAAAGUAUCAGGAAAGGCAAACCCAGUGAAGUUUCAUUUCAGACCAAAGUGCCUGUUGGAAGGGACCCACAAGGAUCAUCAAGACAGCUCCUGGCCCUGCACAGCACCACCCCCAAGAGUCACACCAUUAAAGCACACCAGUGCUUUAGAGCACUGUCCAGAUUUUUCUUGAAUUCUGUCACACUUGGUGCUGUGACCACUUCCCUGGGGAGCCUGUUCCAGUGCCCAACCACCCUCUGGGUGAAGAACCUGUUCCUGUGACCCAACCUAAACCUCCCCUGACACAACUUCAGGCCAUUCCCUCAGGUCCUGUCACUGGCCACCACAGAUCAGUGUCUGCCUCACCUCUUCUCCUUACAAGGAUGUUGUAGGCUGUGAUGAGGACUCCCCUCAGUCUUCUCUUUUCCACGCUGAACAGACCAGGUCUUCCUCAUAUGGCUUCCCCUCAAGGCCCUUCACCAGGAAGGUUGCCUUCCUUUUGAUGCCCUUUUUGAGAAAAAAAGUUGAAGCAAAUCCACUGAUAUUUCUCUUUUUCUUGGCUGUAACAAACUUCUAGGAAAAAUAAUUCUAUUGUCUUCGUGAGAUUCAGAGGAAUCUAAGAUAAAUGUUAAACUGUAGCUUAUUUCUCUAUAUAUGAAAUAAACUAUAUAAUGAAUGUAUACAUAUGUAUUUAUAUUGGUACGUAUCCUGAGAAUAUGUGUAGCAAAUCCUCAAAUAUUUCAUGCAAAUAUAAUGAACUCUCAUUUCCAUUAAUAAACUUAAAAACAUUUGAAAGCACUACUGUGCCAUGAAAUAUUUUGACAUAAUUAAACACAAUAAAUUAAAUACAAUAAUAAGCAUUCUUUGUAUCAAUAGAUUUCACCACUCUGUUGUACUUUCUUUGGUGUUCAGUUAGCUUCUUGGAGUCUAGGGUACCACCUCAGGACAAAAUAUUUAUUGUGAAGAAUACACAGAACAUGUUAUGUCAGUUAGAAAUUAUAUACUGCAAUGAUAGCCAGAAAAAAACACCUGGUGGUGACAGGCUUUUGAGUGUCUUAAGGGAGUCUACUUGUCCCUGAAAAAUUCUGCUUGUAUUUCUCUUCUCUGAGCUAUUUAGUGUUUUCUCCACCAUGUGGUAUAAAAAGAUACUUAAUGAAACCUGGCUUACCUCUGCUGAGUUCUGCAGUCUCCUCAGGGUUGUCUACAUUGUGUGUGCUCCAGUGACUCCUUAUUUAUGAGACAGAUAAUAGGGGAACUAGAUAAUUACACUCAGUAUAUGUUUUGGGUACUUUUCUGUCCACUUAGAUUAUCUUCCCAAUAAUUACCUUGCAACUCUAAAGCCACCAUGGUUCCCCAUGUUUUUCUUAUAAAGGAAAUCAAGUUUCCACCUAUUAUCUACAUAUUUCCACUUCAUAUCUGAUCACUCUGAUAACUCUUAAUCAAGUGCAACUGCUUCUUAAACAACCCCACUCAAAUAUUUCACUUCAAUGAGAAGGGGGAACCCCUUGUAAAUACCACCAGGCACCAAAGUGCCAUCUACUAUCUACCCACAAAGAACAUAAAGUGUCAUUUCACUCAUGAAAUGUUACCUUUCAGGUAAGAGGCACUCAAGUACUUCAAACUUCAUAAGUAUCACUUAUAUCAUUAGUUUAAGAAAAAGAGAAAGAACUUGUAUGGUGGGAUAUGGAUAUUUUCUUGGUAAUCUCUGCCUCCCUCUCUCCAGUAGGGACUGAAAUAAUUUUCUGCCAAUAACGAUGACAGUAAAUUAAUGCACUAAGAAUCUGUUUUUCCUAAAACCAAGAGAUUAUCCAGAAACCCCUGCAGUUGAUUGUGCUUAGUAGAGAGAGGAGGAAAGAUAACUAAAUAUUGGAACAAACUACCAAGGAAUAUUUUAAGUACUUCCACUUCUGAAGCUUUUAUAAAUCAGAACUAGGUGUCUUUCUGAAAGGAAUGUUUUCACAAACACAAGCUUCUGAGUUCACUUUGGUCUGCUGUCAUGAGAAUGGAAUCAUGUUGUAGCAGUUGAUAUUCUCCUUGCAGAUGCUGCCACAAGAGAAAAAUAUGAAAGUAUGAAUAGCUACCCAUGCCCAAGAAGACAUCUGAAUGCCAGUCUUUAACCUUUUAUAGACUUAGCAUUGUGACUGAUGAGGCAUUCCAGUAGGCAUUCCCAAAGUUGUUUGGCUUGUACAGGGGAGUCAAAGAAUGACAGAUAAUCAAAUAGCAAAGCACAGUAAAGGGCAAAGGUAGUGAAAUUUAUUCCAGUCUUUUACUGCAAGUAUGGGACUUUUCAUAUUUCCAGCCCACCGAGGCAAAGGUUGCAGAGCUAAAAACAUCAGGACAUGAAGAUAUUAGAUCAAUUAUGAUUAUAAUAGUGAAAAUUAUCAUGAGCCCCACCUCUUUAAAGUGUUUACCUUUAAUAGAGUAAGCUAAGCGAUGCUUCCUUCAUGCUAUAUUUCAGGGUAGAACCUGUCCAGCAAAGCUUUGAAAUAUUAUUUCUACAUAUUCACAAUAUUUUUUCUCUUUGUAAUAUCACCAGCUUCAUGAAUGUCUUGUUCUCUGUUAUCUCAUGUAUUUAUGCCUUUGUAAAAUUUUUGAAAAUCUUUUCCAUGGAUCCUUGACACUGGUCCAGAAUUAACAGUUUUGAACUCUCCUCCUCCGGACUUACUCGUUUUCCUCAAAUGUUGCCUGUUGAAUUCAGUUCAAGAUGAUUGGGUAGCUUGGCAAUUGUCUUGGCUGGGGUUUUUUUUGGCUUUAUAAUCCAUGACUUUACAUGCUUAAUUGCAAAAUUCUAGCAUAUACUCCAAAUAGAAAGCUGGGCAGGAGCAGUGACACUCAGUUGCUUAGUGUGUAUUACAGCAGGAAUUGUAAGGAUUUGUAACACUGCAAAUUAUCACACUAGAAAUCAUGAGGCAUUACAAGGAGCAGGGUUACCUGAGCACUUCUACUUCCAAAUACAUUUUUUACUCAUAAGAAGUGCACAGUUCAGGCACUUGGGAAGCUCCAGCUAGAUCAGAUAUCAUAGACCACUCUGUCCAACAGAAUGUGUGUCAUGGAGUUACUUUACCUUUAAGAAAAGUUGAAGUUUCUGGGAAACUUCAACUUUUUCUUUUCUCCUGAC